AGUUAUUCUUCGGCACUAAUAAGCGGAGUAAUUUUUUUUACAUCUCAUAAUAUAAGCCGUCGCAGUACUACGAACGCAUGUUUAAAAUUGAAAGAACUUGGCGGCCGUUCAACCUACCAGGGGAACAUGUGCCUUAAAACGAUGGUCCACGCUUUAUCUUACCCUGUCUUGUAAACAAAGAGGCAAGGAAUAAAGCUUGCUUCUAUUUCUCACCUAUAAGUGAGAGGGGUCAGCCGCUAUACCGCCGUUGUCACUUCCCAGUCUGAGCGGUAUUCAAAGGGGGGGAUUUUUGGUACUGUUUUAGGCUGUGUUGGGGUGGGGGCAGGAAAAUCUUUUUUGUUUUACAUUUCCCAAAGUAUAAAGUUUGUACCAUGAAGACAGGUUAAGGUAGCGCCUAUGGCAGGGGGAGUAUGUGUUACAAGCUUUAUUUUAGAGAGAGUAAAAAACUUUCAAACGGAUUCUUUGAGGAAGAUUAAUCUUAGAUGAAGGUGAACUUGGCAGUAAGGAGGGAGUAAGGAGUCCACCUGAAGAGUGCUCUGAUCGUGUGUUCAAAUCGCCCGUCGCUCCCUUCCGAAAGCGGGGAU
rnacentral:rRNA from 1 species